rnacentral:lncRNA from 1 species
UUUGAAAGAUAAGCUAGAAGUUUAUUUCAACACAAAGAAUGUGAAAGAAUGUAGAAUUCAUUCAGCAGAAAAAUGUUAACCAUCUUUUGCUUCCCAUAUGUCCUAGUUAAGGAGCUUUCUUUAGCCACAUGGCUGCUCACCUUUCCUUCCUGUAACUCAAAAAUAGUCACUUGCUGGUAAGGGUUCACAGUGCUGAAUAUGACACAGACUCAAAAAGAGAGAAGAAUAUUUACUUGUCAUUUUCCCCCUUUUCUUUUUUUCUUUUUUGAGAUGGAGUCUCGCACUGUCACCCAGGGUUGGAGUGCAAUGGCGUGAUCUCGGCUCACUGCAACCUCCGCCUCCCGGGUUCAAGCAAUUCUCCUGCCUCAACCUCCUGAGUAGCUGGGAUUACAGGCACCCGCCACCAAGCCUGGAUAAUUUUUGUUUUCUUUUUUUUGAGGUGGAGUUUCGGUCUUGUCACCCAGGCUGAAGUGCAGUGGCGUGAUCUCAGCUCACUGCAACCUCUACCUCCUGGGUUCAAAUGAUUCUCCUGCCUCAGCCUCCCAGGUAGCUGGGAUUACAGGCGCCCACCACCACUCCUGGCUAAUUUUUGUAGUUUUAGUAGAGACGGUUUCACCAUGUUGGCCAGUCUGGUCUUGAACUCCUGACCUCAAGUGAUCCGCCCGCAUUGGCCUCCCAAAGUGCUGUAAUUACAGGUGAGAGCCACCAUACCUAGACAAUUUUUUUUGUGUUUUUAGUAGAGAUGGGGUUUCACCAUGUUGGGCAGGCUGGUCACCUCGGCCUCCCAAAGUGUUGGUAUUACAGGCAUGAGCCACCACACCUGGAAGAAACAAUGUUUUUAACCAGUAUAGCAGGCAGGGUGUUUGCAGUGGCAAGCCAGGUUCAAAUGCUGGCUUGCCCCUUAACUAGCCUCUGUGACCCUGAACAAGUUAACUUUGAUUUCUAAGUCUCAGGUUUAUGAACAACAACAAACAAAACAGGAAGUGGACCUCAUACCUCCUAAUGUUGUUGAGGAUUAAAUGAGUAUUUAUACGAAAUGUCUGAUAAAGCCCAGAAGACAGCUCGACUGCAAUAAUAAAUCAUAAUUUUAUAAGCUUCCUUAAUUUCUAUACUUCUCCUAAGUAAAGGCUACAUCGCCCUCUGCCUGUCCCACUUUUUUCCUCAUGAGCAGUCUGACCCCUACCCCUACCCCUACCCCAAGUACAGAUGUAACAUUCCAAAAAGAACUGAAGGAGAGCCGUGGCUCACGCCUGUAAUCCCAGCACUUUGGGAGGCAGAGGCGGGCGGAUCAUGAGGUCAGGAGAUCGAGACCAUCC